GCGCAGCAGGCGAGAAUCCUUCGCAAUGCAGGAAACUGCGACGAGGGAACUCCAAGUGCCUACGCUCAGCGUAGGCUGUUCUCAAGCCUAGAAAGCUUGAGGAGUAAGGGCUGGGUAAGACGGGUGCCAUCUGUGGUAGCAGUCAAUAGAUUCGAUUUGUUACUGCAAGGCACAAGCCGGCCGCGGUAAUACCGCAGCCCAAGUGGUGGCCGCUUUUAUGGGCCUAAAGCGUCCGUAGCCGGCCCGGUAAAUGCCUGGGUAAAUCGUGGAGCCCAACUUCACGAAUUCCGGGUAGACUGCCGAGCUCGGGACCGGAAGAGGGAGAGGGUACUUCGAGGGGUAGGGGUGAAAAUUUCCUUUUCCAUUAACGCUUUGCGCGAAGCGGAAAGGGUUAUCACAAUCCU
rnacentral:rRNA from 1 species